rnacentral:rRNA from 1 species
GAUGAACGCUGGCGGCGUGCUUAACACAUGCAAGUCGAACGGAAAGGCCCAAGCUUGCUUGGGUACUCGAGUGGCGAACGGGUGAGUAACACGUGGGUGAUCUGCCCUGCACUUCGGGAUAAGCCUGGGAAACUGGGUCUAAUACCGGAUAGGACGAUGGUCUGGAUGCCAUGGUGGAAAGUUUUUUCGGGGUGGGGUGAGCUCGCGGCCUUUCUCCGUGUUGGGGGGGUAAUGGCCUACAAAGGCGUCGACGGGUAGCCGUCGUGAGAGGGUGUACGGCGACAUUGUGGCAGAGAGACGGGGCAGAGACCUACGGGGGGCAGCAGUGGGGAAUAUUGCGCAAAGGGGGCGAGCCUGAUGCGGCGACGCCGCGUGGGGGGUGACGGCCUUCGGGUUGUAAACUCCUUUCGCUAGGGAAGAAGCGUGUUUGUGACGGUACCUGGAAAAGAAGCACCGGCUAACUACGUG